GACGAACGCUGGCGGCGUGCUUAACACAUGCAAGUCGAACGAUGAAGCCGGAGCUUGCUCUGGUGAAUUAGUGGCGAACGGGUGAGUAACACGUGAGUAACCUGCCCUUGACUCUGGGAUAACUGCUAGAAAUGGUAGCUAAUACCGGAUACGACCCUCGGAGGCAUCUCCAGGGGGUGGAAAGAAUUUCGGUCAAGGAUGGACUCGCGGCCUAUCAGCUAGUUGGUGAGGUAACGGCUCACCAAGGCGACGACGGGUAGCCGGCCUGAGAGGGUGACCGGCCACACUGGGACUGAGACACGGCCCAGACUCCUACGGGAGGCAGCAGUGGGGAAUAUUGCACAAUGGGCGCAAGCCUGAUGCAGCAACGCCGCGUGAGGGAUGACGGCCUUCGGGUUGUAAACCUCUUUUAGUAGGGAAGGAGCGAAAGUGACGGUACCUGCAGAAAAAGCACCGGCUAACUACGUGCCAGCAGCCGCCGCAG
rnacentral:rRNA from 1 species